AGAGUUUGCUUUUGGCUCAGGAUGAACGCUGGCGGCGUGCCUAAUACAUGCAAGUCGAACGCACAGCGAAAGGUGCUUGCACCUUUCAAGUGAGUGGCGAACGGGCGAGUAACACGUGGAUAACCUACCUCAAGGUUGGGGAUAACAUUUGGAAACAGAUGCUAAUACCGAAUAAAACUUCGUAUCGCAUGAUACAAGGUUAAAAGGCGCUACGGCGUCACCUAGAGAUGGAUCCGCGGUGCAUUAGUUAGUUGGUGGGGUAAAGGCCUACCAAGACAAUGAUGCAUAGCCGAGUUGAGAGACUGAUCGGCCACAUUGGGACUGAGACACGGCCCAAACUCCUACGGGAGGCUGCAGUAGGGAAUCUUCCACAAUGGGCGAAAGCCUGAUGGAGCAACGCCGCGUGUGUGAUGAAGGCUUUCGGGUCGUAAAGCACUGUUGUAUGGGAAGAACAGCUAGAGUAGGGAAUGACUUUAGUUUGACGGUACCAUACCAGAAAGGGACGGCUAAAUACGUGCCAGCAGCCGCGGUAAUACGUAUGUCCCGAGCGUUAUCCGGAUUUAUUGGGCGUAAAGCGAGCGCAGACGGUUGAUUAAGUCUGAUGUGAAAGCCCGGAGCUCAACUCCGGAAAGGCAUUGGAAACUGGUCAACUUGAGUGCAGUAGAGGUAAGUGGAACUCCAUGUGUAGCGGUGGAAUGCGUAGAUAUAUGGAAGAACACCAGCGGCGAAGGCGGCUUACUGGACUGUAACUGACGUUGAGGCUCGAAAGUGUGGGUAGCAAACAGGAUUAGAUACCCUGGUAGUCCACACCGUAAACGAUGA
rnacentral:rRNA from 1 species